GUAACAUAUGGAAUAUGGUUAUAAUAGCUGUUUAGUGUCCCUUUUGAAUAAUUUUUUAGUGUAAAGCCAUACAUGCUAUUUGUAGUUCAGUUUCUUUUCUUUAAGUGUAAAGUAUUGUGUAACAUAGGCAGAAUUACUUAAGUCAAUACAUUUUUUAAGAAUUUCACAUGUUCUGAUUCCUUCCACUGCCCAUCACCCCAUCACCUUCGCUCCUCCAAUGUUUGAGUUGUAAUCUUCAGGAAAGCCCUUUAAAAAAGAAGUUUUGCUCAGUCAGCAGUUGUCAUGUCAGUCAGUUCAUAAUUCUUUUAAAAAUUGGGCUUCUUUCAUCUCCAGUGGAACAUGGACACACUUCAAAAACUCCUCACCUGUAAUCUUUGGGAUCCAGUUUCCUCAACCAGUUUACUUUAGGACUAUUAACGUAUUUGGGGUCAGGGAAGAUAGAUCUGCCUGGUUCUGAAUUUUAGACAGUCUCUGAACAUGCAUUAAGUUCAAAUCAUGUUUACUCCUAAGCUUAUCACACCCUGGAGCAGUACUGAUUGUUGGGAUAUGCCAGCACCUAAGAUGAAAGAGCUUGUUAGGUUUCUCAUAGUUUAUUUAGCAGCUCUGCCUUGUAGUUCUUUCCCACAGAUCUAAGACGUAGUUCUGUGAGGAAAGGAAACCACAUAGUUACCCUAUGAGGCAUUUCCAACGGUGUAGGUCUACACAAAAAGCCCCAUCGAGUGUUCCUUUUUAGAAACUUGAAGUAUAGUCAGUUUACAAUGUUGCACUAAUGUCUGGUGUGCAGCGGAAUAGGUCAUUCAUCUGUAUACCCACAUAGAUUCAUAUUCAUGUUCUCUUUCAUUAUAGGCCACUACAAGUCAUUGAAUAUAGUUCCCUCUGCUGCACAGUAUAAACUUGCUUUUUAUCUCUUUUAUGUCUAGUAGUAUCUGCAAAUCUUGAAGUCCCAAUUUAUUCCUUCCCACUACCGGUAACCAUACAUUUGUUUUUAGUUCUGUUUCUGUUGAUUCAUUUUUCUGCUUAUUAUGGGUACCUUACCUCUAACGGUCCUAAUAAAAUAAUGUUGACUGGGUGGCUUAAACAAGAAAUUUAUUUUCUCAUACUUCUGGAUGCUAGAAGUCCAGGUUAAAGUUCUGGAAGAAUUUGGUUUCCCGUGGCCUUUCCUCAGUCUGUGCUUGUGGGGAGAGAGACAGAGACAGAGAGAGAGAGACAGAGAGAGAGCGAGCACACAAGCUCUAAUGUCUCCUCAUCCUCUUAGAAGGAUCCCAGUUCCAUCAGAUUAGGGCCUUACGUUUAGGACCUCAUUUAAUACUAAUUACUUCCCCAAAGGUCCAAAUACUAUCACAUUGGCGAUUAAGGCUUUAACAGGAAUAUUGGGGAGACACAAUCAUUCAGUCCACAGUAUGGGUGCUAUUUUUUUUCUUUCUUUGCAUUCCUGGUAAUUUUUAUUAGAAGUCAAACAAUACGAACUUUACUUUAUUGGGUGCCAGCUAUUUUUAUGUUCUUCUCAAUAUCCUUGAGCUUUGUUCUGGGAUGCAGUUAAGUCUUUUGGAGACAGCUUGAUAUUUUUGAAGCUUUCUUUUAAACUCUGUUAGCGCUAGACCAGAGAAACCUUUAGUUCAGGGCUCAUUUUGCUCCCCUCCUGGGGGAGUAACCUCCUUAGUGCGUCUUACAAUGUUCAGGGGACUGUGAGGUGUUGUACUCUGGCGGGAGGGAAUGUUUCUGGCCCUGCGUGAGCUCCAGGAAUUGUUCCUUCUGCUCCUUUUAGGUGGUUCUUUCUUUGGUUUCGGUAGUUUCUUCAUUCCUGUGCCCUGAUUAGUACUGGGUUGCAGAUUUUUGAAACUUUUUCUCUGUAGCGCCAUCUCCUCUGCAGGACUUUGCUCGUGUUGGAAGAUUUGAAAACCUUGAAAGUGGCUGAAGAAACAAAACACAAGAGUCACCUGGAAACCAGCACCUGGGAAAGUCAUCAGCUACAGUGUUGUCUAUCAGCCCCAUGGGGGCAGGAGACAGCUGGUGGGCCAAAGUGCCACCCACAGUCACCUCCACAGUGUUAAAGCGGCUUCAGCCCCAGACCACAUACGACAUCACAGUUCUCGCAGAUUACAAGAGAGAAGAGGGGAAGCUUAGGCAAGUAUCAGGCACGACAGAUAUUUUGAAUUCACCUUACUAUUAUAGGGCACUUAAAUGCUCAGAGAGACAAGAAGAGCUUGCUGCAGGCUGUGGCAAACUUACCUCACAAAGGAGGCAGGGCCCUCACAGACAUGGCUUUGAACUUCAUUCACCAACAGAGCUUCAAGACCCAAGCUGGCAUGAGGCGUCAAGCUCGAAAAAUUGAUGUUCUCAUCACUGAUGACGUUGAGACCCCAUCAAAGCAACUCAAGGAUGAAGGUGUGGAGCCGUUUGCUGUUGGUAUUAAAAAUGCUGGUGAAGCUAAGUUAAAAGAUGACUGCAGCAGACCCCGAUGAUCCCCACACAUGCAACUGGCAGAUUUUGCGUCCCUCUCCAGGAUCCUGGAUGACCUCACCCUCAACUUGUGUAACAGCGUCAGAAGUCCAGUGUGCCGGUCCAGCAAAAGCCCCUGGGUCUGUCUGACUUCUUCAGGUGUCCACUGUGGAAGGUGGGUGACAUACUUAUUCUUACUUUGCUAUCCAACUUGCUUUUUUCAAUUUACCUUAAGCUUUAUGUCAAAGUUUUACUGAUUUGGGUUUAUUUAGCACCACUGCUUAAUCAUAGUGUGUACGUAAUUCUCUGUAGGGCUUCCCUCUCCUAACAGAAUCCCUGUUCGGUGAUGGAACUGAGGAAAAUCUGGAGGGGGGACCCCUUUUUUGUUGGUACUCAGAAGAAUUAAUUUGAUGAUAAAGACAAUCUACUAGUAAUAUGUGACAGUCUGCUAGUAAUAAAAGAUGAAAUAAGGAACUCUGAUGUCUUAUGGUUGUUUUAAGUACCUUUUAUUAGGGUAAAUUUAAGCACGCUCAGAAGUAGAGAGUAUAAUUAAUUGAACCCUGUAUUUUUACCGCCCAGCUUCAACACUUAUAAACACGUGGCCAAUUUUGUUUCACCUAUUACCU